ensembl:lncRNA
GAGCUGCACCUCGCCUAAACCAAACAGAGUGAUUCCAGCAGCAUCCUGUGGCGUGUAACAUCCGAGAAACUUUGGACCCGAAUCUUCCAACUCUGUGCAGAGUUCAUGUGUCGAGUCAGAAAGAUUUCUGUUUGGCUGAAAAACAUGCUUCUUGCAAAAACUUCUGACUUGUUUCCACCAAGCUGGUUCGUUUCUGGAAGAUUCUGGACAAACACUCACCUCUCUAACUCACCUGCCUGUCCAACAGCACAAACUCCUCACAGAAGCCUGACCGGUCGGUCCUCCCGUCAUGCUGCUCCCAAGUAAAAAUACUCAUCAGCAC